GUGGGGAAUAUUGGGCAAUGGGCGAAAGCCUGACCCAGCCACGCCGCGUGAGUGAUGAAGGCCUUCGGGUUGUAAAGCUCUGUGGGGAGGGAAGAAAAAGCGCAGGAGUAACUGCCUGUGUGUUGACGGUACCUCCUUAGCAAGCACCGGCUAACUCUGUGCCAGCAGCCGCGGUAAUACAGAGGGUGCAAACGUUGCUCGGAAUUACUGGGCGUAAAGCGCGUAUAGGCUGACAUGCAAGUCGGGUGUGAAAUCCCAGGGCUCAACCUUGGAACUGCACUCGAAACUGCACGUCUUGAGUACUGGAGAGGGGAGCGGAAUUCCGGGUGUAGAGGUGAAAUUCGUAGAUAUCCGGAGGAACACCAGUGGCGAAGGCGGCUUCCUGGACAGUAACUGACGCUGAGACGCGAAAGCGUGGGGAGCAAACAGGAUUAGAAACCCGUGUAGUCC
rnacentral:rRNA from 1 species